UACGUAGGUGACAAGCGUUGUCCGGAUUUACUGGGCGUAAAGAGCGCGCAGGCGGUCGUUCAAGUCGCGUGUGAAAGCCCCCGGCUCAACUGGGGAGGGUCAUUCGAUACUGAUCGACUCGAAGGCAGGAGAGGGUAGUGGAAUUCCCGGUGUAGUGGUGAAAUGCGUAGAUAUCAGGAGGAACACCGGUGGCGAAGGCGGUUCUCUGGGCAUUACCUGACGCCGAGGAGCGAAAGUGUGGGGAGCGAACAGG
rnacentral:rRNA from 1 species